GGCCUUUUGUUAAUAAUUUAAGGUCUGACCUGCCCAAUGAUAAUAAUUUAAUGGCCGCAGUAUUUUGACUGUGCAAAGGUAGCAUAAUCAUUAGUUUUUUAAUUGGAAGCUGGAAUGAAUGGUUUGAUGAGAAAAUAACUGUCUCAUUUUAAAUGUUUUAGAAUUUUAAUUUUAAGUGAAAAAGCUUAAAUUUUUUAGAAAGACGAGAAGACCCUAUAGAGUUUUAUAUUUUAAUAUAAAAUUUUAAAUUGGAUUUAAUUUAAAAUUUUAUAUUAAAAUAUUUUGUUGGGGUGAUGUAAAAAUUAAAUUAACUUUUUAUUAUUUAAACAUUAAUUAAUGAUUUUAUGAUCCUAAUUUUUAGAUUAAAAGAAUAAAUUACCUUAGGGAUAACAGCGUAAUUUUUUUAGAGAGUUCUUAUUGAUAAAAAAGUUUGCGA
rnacentral:rRNA from 1 species